rnacentral:snRNA from 1 species
CGUGGCGGUUGACGGCAA